UACGAAGGGGGCUAGCGUUGUUCGGAAUCACUGGGCGUAAAGGGCGCGUAGGCGGCCUGAUAAGUCGGGGGUGAAAGCCUGUGGCUCAACCACAGAAUUGCCUUCGAUACUGUUAGGCUUGAGACCGGAAGAGGUAAGUGGAACUGCGAGUGUAGAGGUGAAAUUCGUAGAUAUUCGCAAGAACACCAGUGGCGGAAGGCGGCUUACUGGUCCGGUUCUGACGCUGAGGCGCGAAAGCGUGGGGAGCAAACAGG
rnacentral:rRNA from 1 species